rnacentral:rRNA from 1 species
UUGGAGGGCAAGUCUGGUGCCAGCAGCCGCGGUAAUUCCGGCUCCAAUAGCGUAUAUUAAAGUUGUUGCAGUUAAAAAGCUCGUAGUUGAAUUUCGGGGUUCUACCGUUGGUCGGGCUAUUGUCUGUACUGGCGUGUAGAAUUUCUACCUUCUGGGGAACUAUCAUGUUAUUAAUUUAGCGUGGUAGGAAACCAGGACCUUUACCUUGAAAAAAUUAGAGUGUUCAAAGCAGGCUUAUGUCUGAAUACAUUAGCAUGGAAUAAUAAAAUAGGACGGUGGUCCUGUUUUGUUGGUUUCUGAAUCACCGUAAUGAUUAAUAGGGAUAGUUGGGGGCAUUAGUAUUCAAUUGUCAGAGGUGAAAUUCUUGGAUUUAUUGAAGACUAACUACUGCGAAAGCAUUUGCCAAGGAUGUUUUCAUUAAUCAAGAACGAAAGUUAGGGGAUCGAAGACGAUCAGAUACCGUCGUAGUCUUAACCAUAAACUAUGCCGACUAGGGAUCGGACGAUGUUAACUUUUCUUGACUCGUUCGGCGCCUUACGGGAAA